CCUACGGGAGGCAGCAGUGGGGAAUAUUGGACAAUGGGCGAAAGCCUGAUCCAGCAAUGCCGCGUGAGUGAUGAAGGCCUUAGGGUUGUAAAGCUCUUUUACUAGGGAUGAUAAUGACAGUACCUAGAGAAUAAGCCCCGGCUAACUCCGUGCCAGCAGCCGCGGUAAUACGGAGGGGGCUAGCGUUGUUCGGAAUUACUGGGCGUAAAGAGUACGUAGGCGGUUAUUCAAGUCAGAGGUGAAAGCCUGGAGCUCAACUCCAGAACUGCCUUUGAAACUAGAUAGCUAGAAUCAUGGAGAGGUUAGUGGAAUUCCGAGUGUAGAGGUGAAAUUCGUAGAUAUUCGGAAGAACACCAGUGGCGAAGGCGACUAACUGGACAUGUAUUGACGCUGAGGUACGAAAGCGUGGGGAGCAAACAGGAUUAGAUACCCUGGUAGUCCACGCCGUAAACGAUGAUAACUAGCUGUUCGGGCUCUCAGAGCUUGAGUGGCGCAGCUAACGCAUUAAGUUAUCCGCCUGGGGAUACGGUCGCAAGAUUAAAACUCAAAUGAAAUUGAACGG
rnacentral:rRNA from 1 species